rnacentral:misc_RNA from 1 species
GAUGAGAACGCAGCGAAAUGCGAUAAGUAGUGUGAAUUGCAGAAUUCAGUGAAUCAUCGAAUCUUUGAACGCACAUUGCGCCUUCUAGUAUUCUGGGAGGCAUGCCUGUUUGAGCGUCAUUAAACCUCUCUCAAGUAUGAUUACUUGGAUGUGAAGGAAGAGUACCUUAAACUUAAGGAGUGUUCUCCUUUGAAAUUGAUUAGCAGAUGGUAAUGUUAUUAAAUCCCUGAUGUUGUAAGAAAUAACAGUGGUUUUGUAGACUAUUAUCUAGCUUUAAAUUAUAAUUUUUAUUAUGGUUGACCUCAAAUCAGGUAAGGAUACCCGCUGAACUUAAGCAUAUCAAUAAGCGGAGGA